rnacentral:tRNA from 1 species
CGGGGCAUAGCGCAGUCUGGUAGCGCACCUGCUUUGGGAGCAGGGGGUCGUGGGUUCGAAUCCCUCUGCCCCGACCA